ACUUAAAUUGAAGAGUUUGAUCAUGGCUCAGAUUGAACGCUGGCGGCAGGCCUAACACAUGCAAGUCGAACGGUAGCACAGAGGAGCUUGCUCCUUGGGUGACGAGUGGCGGACGGGUGAGUAAUGUCUGGGAAACUGCCCGAUGGAGGGGGAUAACUACUGGAAACGGUAGCUAAUACCGCAUAACGUCGCAAGACCAAAGAGGGGGACCUUCGGGCCUCUUGCCAUCGGAUGUGCCCAGAUGGGAUUAGCUAGUAGGUGGGGUAACGGCUCACCUAGGCGACGAUCCCUAGCUGGUCUGAGAGGAUGACCAGCCACACUGGAACUGAGACACGGUCCAGACUCCUACGAGAGGCAGCAGUGGGGAAUAUUGCACAAUGGGCGCAAGCCUGAUGCAGCCAUGCCGCGUGUAUGAAGAAGGCCUUCGGGUUGUAAAGUACUUUCAGCGAGGAGGAAGGCGUUG
rnacentral:rRNA from 1 species